rnacentral:lncRNA from 1 species
CAUUAAUUGAAGUAAGUGGAUAUUUUAUUUCCUGGAAAUGAGCAUCAUCUCCCCAAAGCCUUGACUUUGGGGCUCAGAAUUCUGAUCGUGCCCUAGAGCCUUGCAUGUUUGGCCAGAUUACAUAGAUCCAGUGUGUGUGUGUGGGGGUGGGGGUUGUGUCUGUGUUGGGGGUCAUUCUCUGACUGCACCCAUUUGCUUAUACUAUUAUAAAGAAGAAACAUGUUUUUAACUGUAUGCGACAUCGCCCCCCCCCCCCCCCCCCCCCGCCGGCUGUUGGCUGCCUUUCCUGACUGUGCUGCUCCCUCGGAUGCGCCUCCAGCAGAAGUGAGCUCAGAAGCAGUCUAACCUCUGGGGCUGGAGACCUCGCCUCACGUCCCUGCUGCUGUGGACGAGUCCGAGACGGACAGGCCUCAGUUGUAGAGUUAUCCCAGAUGCCGUCCUUGGCCCUUGGCGGGAGGGUGCCUGAAAGACACACGGGACCUCCCUGGACAUGUUUUGCACCUUCCUGUGAAUCCAGUAAAAGGAUAAACAACGAUACCUGCAAACUCCAUGUGCAGAUGUACAUGCGUGUGAUUACCAUCGAACUUGACGGCGCCUGAGCCAGCCAGCCAUCGAUUCCCCCUUUCUGCCGACGUUGGUCCACUGCCCGAUGCACGCGGAGAACCUGCACUGGUGGCCCGGUGACCCAGCUCCUGGUGGCCCGGUGGUCCAGCUCCCAGGUGGCCAGGUGACCCAGCUCCCAGGUGUUUGGGUGAACCA